UACGUAGGGUGCGAGCGUUAAUCGGAAUUACUGGGCGUAAAGCGUGCGCAGGCGGUCUGUUAAGACAGAUGUGAAAUCCCCGGGCUUAACCUGGGAACUGCAUUUGUGACUGGCAGGCUAGAGUAUGGCAGAGGGGGGUAGAAUUCCACGGUGUAGCAGUGAAAUGCGUAGAGAUGUGGAGGAAUACCGAUGGCGAAGGCAGCCCCCUGGGCCAAUACGUGACGCUCAUGCACGAAAGCGUGGGGAGCAAACAGG
rnacentral:rRNA from 1 species